rnacentral:rRNA from 1 species
UACGUAGGGAGCAAGCGUUAUCCGGAUUUACUGGGUGUAAAGGGCGCGUAGGCGGGUAUACAAGUCAGGUGUGAAAUGCGGAGGCUCAACCUCCGACUUGCACUUGAAACUGUGUAUCUUGAGUGAUGGAGAGGCAGGCGGUAUUCCCGGUGUAGCGGUGAAAUGCGUAGAUAUCGGGAGGAACACCAGUGGCGAAGGCGGCCUGCUGGACAUUAACUGACGCUGAUGCGCGAAAGCGUGGGGAGCAAACAGG